GUCAGUCACAGUCAGCACACUGCAUGGACAUGAGGAUCACUGCUCAGCUCCUGGGGCUCCUGCUGCUCCGCCUCCCAGGUGCCAGAUGUGACAUCCAGAUGACCCAGUCUCCAUCCUCCCUGUCUGCAUCUCUAGGAGACGGAGUUACCAUCUCCUGCAAAAGCCAGUCAGAGUAUUAUCAAUUAUUUAGCCUGGUAUCAACAGAAACAGGGAAUGCUACAAAGCUUCUGAUUUCUUAUGCAACUAGCUUGGCCUCUGGGGUUCCAUCAAGGUUCAGUGGCAGUGGAUCUGGGACAGAUUAUUCUCUCACCAUCAGCAGCCUUCAGCCUGAAGAUUUUGCCACUUAUUACUGUCAACAGAGUAUUAAUUACCCUCCCACAGUGAUACAAGCCAUAAUAAAAAAACGUCCCAGGAAAGCAGACGUGAGAUGCUGGCCUGCCCCAGCUGCUUCUCCUAGUUCCUCUACCUGUUGA